rnacentral:rRNA from 1 species
UACGUAGGGGGCGAGCGUUGUCCGGAUUUAUUGGGCGUAAAGGGCUCGUAGGCGGAUCCGCCAGUCUGACGUGAAAUCUCCACCGCUCACCGGGGAGGGGCCGUUGGAUACUACGGAUCUGGAGUUCGGCAGAGGACCAUGGAAUUCCAGGUGUAGCGGUGGAAUGCGUAGAUAUCUGGAAGAACACCGGUGGCGAAGGCGGUGGUCUGGGCCGUGACUGGCGCUGAGGAGCGAAAGCAUGGGGAGCGAACAGG